rnacentral:misc_RNA from 1 species
GAUGAAGAACGUAGCGAAAUGCGAUUAGUAAUGUGAAUUGCAGAGUUCAGUGAAUCAUCGAAUCUUUGAACGCACAUUGCGCCCGUCAGUAUUCUGACGGGCAUGCCUGUCCGAGCGUCAUUUCAACCCUCAAGCACUGCUUGGCGUUGGCGGAUUGCGUGCCCUCGCGGCGCUGCAACCGCCCAAAUACAGUGGCGGUCCCGCUGCGGCUCCCUUUGCGUAGUAACUCACCUCGCACUGGACCGGGCGGCGGCCUGCCGUAAAACCCCAACUCACGAAAUGUUGACCUCGGAUCAGGUAGGAAUACCCGCUGAACUUAAGCAUAUCAAUAAGCGGAGGA